rnacentral:tRNA from 2 species
UCCGCCAUGGUGUAACGGCAGCACGCCGGCCUUUGGAGCCGUGCAGUCCAGGUUCGAAUCCUGGUGGCGGAG